rnacentral:rRNA from 1 species
UACAGAGGUCUCAAGCGUUGUUCGGAUUCAUUGGGCGUAAAGGGUGCGUAGGCGGCGCGGUAAGUCGGGUGUGAAAUCUCGGGGCUUAACUCCGAAACUGCAUUCGAUACUGCCGUGCUUGAGGACUGGAGAGGAGACUGGAAUUUACGGUGUAGCGGUGAAAUGCGUAGAUAUCGUAAGGAAGACCAGUGGCGAAGGCGGGUCUCUGGACAGUUCCUGACACUGAGGCACGAAGGUCAGGGGAGCAAACGGG